CUCAUAAAUAAUCAUACAACGUUUUGGCUAUUAAUUUGAAACCAAAACAAAAUGAGAAAUCAAAAUAUAAAUUGUCUCGCCAUUCUUUCUCUCAUCCUAAUGUUGUUGUGUGCAAAUGGAGAGGUGACAGCACAAAACGAAUUAUGUGACCCUGAAAAAUGCAACAAGGGAUGUUGGGAUUUAAUUAAGUACAUUGGAUAUUGUGCUCCUAAUGGAUCUUGUCAAUGUAUCCCAAGACCAGUACCUCCAACUCCAAGAUCCAUACCUAAGUGGAGUCAUGUAUCUAAAUCUCUACCAUAGUUUUAUUUUAAUAUAGUGCUGAAAAAUAAAUUAUAAAGGUGAAAAAGAUCAUGUAUGUACUCAUCAUUAUUGAUCUUAAAGAAUUAAUAAAUGUUUUCUUAUGAAUA